UGUUUAAAAAAUCAUUUUGACAGGUUUGGAGGGAUAUGGACCAAACGUGGGUAGAUGAGACUGGUAUAGCUGGGCCAUUUUGGCUGGUGUGGGUAAGUUUUGCCGAAGGGCCUGUUUAUAUGCGGUAUCAUUCUGUGACUUUCUAUAAGCUAGGGUAAGGUCCGAUUCAUCUCUAUCUCAUGGAGGACAUUGGACUUUGUCUAUGGAACUGAUGCGCU